rnacentral:tRNA from 1 species
GCGAGAGUGGUGAAAUUGGUAGACACGCUAGACUUAGGAUCUAGUGCCGCAGGCAUGGGGGUUCAAGUCCCUUCUCUCGCA